rnacentral:rRNA from 1 species
GAUGAACGCUGGCGGCGUGCCUAACACAUGCAAGUCGAGCGAGUGGAGUUCUGCGGAACAAAGCUAGCGGCGGACGGGUGAGUAACACGUGGGCAACCUGCCUCAUAGAGGGGAAUAGCCUCCCGAAAGGGAGAUUAAUACCGCAUAAGAUUGUAGCUUCGCAUGAAGUAGCAAUUAAAGGAGCAAUCCGCUAUGAGAUGGGCCCGCGGCGCAUUAGCUAGUUGGUGAGGUAACGGCUCACCAAGGCGACGAUGCGUAGCCGACCUGAGAGGGUGGACGGCCACAGUGGGACUGAGACACGGCGCAGGCGCCUACGGGAGGCAGCAGUGGAGAAUAUUGCACAAUGGGGGAAACACUGGUGCAGCAACGCCGCGUGAGUGAUGACGGCCUUCGGGUUGUAAAGCUCUGUCUUCAGGGACGAUAAUGACGGUACCUGAGGAGGAAGCCACGGCUAACUACGUGCCAGCAGCCGCAGUAAGAC